GCAAGUCUGGUGCCAGCAGCCGCGGUAAUUCCAGCUCCAAUAGCGUAUAUUAAAGUUGUUGCAGUUAAAAAGCUCGUAGUUGAAUUUCGGGAUCAAUAUUUCGGUCAUGCCGUUGGUAUGCACUGUUAUCAUUGAUUUCUCACCUUCUAAAGAACCAUAAUGCCAUUAAUUUGGUGUUACGGGGAAUUAGGACUGUUACCUUGAAAAAAUUAGAGUAUUUAAAGCAGGCUCACGCUUGAAUACAUUAGCAUGGAAUAAUGAAAUAGGACAUCCGAUUCUAUUUUGUUGGUUUCUAGGAUCGAUGUAAUGAUUAAUAGGGAUAGUUGGGGGCAUUAGUAUUCAAUUGUCAGAGGUGAAAUUCUUGGAUUUAUUGAAGACUAACUACUGCGAAAGCAUUUGCCAAGGAUGUUUUCAUUAAUCAAGAACGAAAGUUAGGGGAUCGAAGACGAUCAGAUACCGUCGUAGUCUUAACCAUAAACUAUGCCGACUAGGGAUCGGAUGAUGUUAAUUUUUUAAUGACUCAUUCGGCGCCUUACGGAAAC
rnacentral:rRNA from 1 species